UGCUGAUCACUGCGUCGGCUCAGUAUGUUCCCGCGUGCCAACAGUCCAGAGCAUGCGCAGAGGGAGCGACCCCGAGAAGCAGUCGUCGUCUUCCUCGGCUCCACAAAAGUAUGUUGGAAGAGGACUUGCAGAUAGGAAACUCAAACCAAAUAUGAUACACCAAGAUCUAAGUCAGCCACUUUAUUCAUUCGGUACUGGAUAUUAUUGGCCUUUGCAUGUAGACCAGAACUGGACUUCAGAAGAGGCCUCACCAACGUCCUGUACAACCUCA